rnacentral:rRNA from 1 species
AGUGAACGCUGGCGGCAGGCCUAAUACAUGCAAGUCGAACGGCAGCACAGCAGAGCUUGCUCUGUGGGUGGCGAGUGGCGGACGGGUGAGGAAUACAUGGGAAUCUGCCCAGUCGUGGGGGAUAACGUAUGGAAACGUACGCUAAUACCGCAUGCGCCCUACGGGGGAAAGUCGGGGACCGCAAGGCCUGACGCGAUUGGAUGAGCCCAUGUUCGAUUAGCUAGUUGGCGGGGUAAAGGCCCACCAAGGCGACGAUCGAUAGCUGGUCUGAGAGGAUGAUCAGCCACACUGGAACUGAGACACGGUCCAGACUCCUACGGGAGGCAGCAGUAGGGAAUAUUGGACAAUGGGGGCAACCCUGAUCCAGCCAUGCCGCGUGAGUGAAGAAGGCCCU